rnacentral:rRNA from 1 species
GAAGGGGCGGCUAACUCUGUGCCAGCAGCCGCGGUGAUACAGAGGCCCCGAGCGUUGUUCGGAUUUACUGGGCGUAAAGGGUGUGUAGGGGGUCGGGUAAGUUUGACGUGAAAGCCCGCUGCUUAACAGCGGAACGGCGUCGAAUACUGCCCGGCUGGAGGUUCGGAGAUGAGAGCGGAAUUCUCGGUGUAGCGGUGAAAUGCGUAGAUAUCGAGAGGAACGCCGACGGCGAAAGCAGCUCUCAAGACGAAAUCUGACCCUGAGACACGAAGGCCAGGGGAGCAAACGGGAUUAGAUACCCCGGUAGUCCUGGCAGUAAACGGUGCUCAUUAGAUGUAGGCGGAUUCGACCCCGCCUGUGUCGAACCUAACGGAUUAAAUGAGCCGCCUGGGAAGUACGGUCGCAAGAUUAAAACUCAAAGAAAUUGACGGGGGCCCGCACAAGCGGUGGAGUAUGUGGCUUAAUUCGAUGCAACGCGAAGAACCUUACCUGGCCUUGACAUGCUGAGUUCAGGCGUGGAAACACGCUGGCCCGCAAGGGCGAUCUGCACAGGUGCUGCAUGGCUGUCGUCAGCUCGUGUCGUGAGAUGUUGGGUUAAGUCCCGCAACGAGCGCAACCCUCGUGACUAGUUAAUCCCGGGCAACCGGAUUCUGGUCAGACUGCCCUGUGAAACGGGGAGGAAGGUGGGGACGACGUCAAGUCCGUAUGGCCCUUACGGCCAGGGCUGCACACGUACUACAAUGCUCACUACAGAGGGACGCGAGACCGCAAGGUGGAGCCAAUCCCUGAAAGGUGAGCCCAGUUCGGAUUGGAGGCUGCAACUCGCCUCCAUGAAGCCGGAAUCGCUAGUAAUGGCGCAUCAGCUACGGCGCCGUGAAUACGUUCCCGGGUCUUGUACACACCGCCCGUCAAACCAUGAAAGUCACCAAUACCUGACGUCCAGCCUUGUGCUGGCCUAAGGUAGGGGGGAUGAUUGGGGUUAAGUCGUAACAAGGUAUCCGUACCGGAAGGUGCGGAUGGAUUACCUCCUUUCUAGGGAGU